CAUCUUUAUGAGCAGCCCCGCCUUCAAUGAUCUUGGUGACAUAGAUACUGUUAUCUCCUGGUAUGUGCUGGUUUCCCACCCCUCCAGCGAUGCUGAAACCCAAUCCUGAGAGAAAGAUAUCAACGAGAAAGGCAGAGAGAGAGAGCGAGGGAUUCUGCCCACAUAAACCUGAUGCAUAAACCAAUGAAGAUGGAGGAAAGGGCUAUGAGUGGGAGAGUGGAGAGUGCUGACAACUACAUCUUUUCUGGGUUACCCACAUUUGUCACUCACCGCCCCAGUGUUGCUUCACCAACACAACUAAACGGUAUGAAUAGACCUGCAUGG